GAGUUUGAUCAUGGCUCAGAUUGAACGCUGGCGGCAGGCCUAACACAUGCAAGUCGAGCGCGAAAGCACUUCGGUGUGAGUAGAGCGGCGGACGGGUGAGUAACGCGUAGGAAUCUACCUGGUAGUGGGGGACAACUCGGGGAAACUCGAGCUAAUACCGCAUACGCCCUACGGGGGAAAGCGGGGGACCUUCGGGCCUCGCGCUAUCAGAUGAGCCUGCGUUGGAUUAGCUAGUUGGUGGGGUAAUGGCCUACCAAGGCGACGAUCCAUAGCUGGUCUGAGAGGAUGAUCAGCCACACCGGGACUGAGACACGGCCCGGACUCCUACGGGAGGCAGCAGUGGGGAAUAUUGCGCAAUGGGCGAAAGCCUGACGCAGCCAUGCCGCGUGUGUGAAGAAGGCCUUCGGGUUGUAAAGCACUUUCAAUUGGGAGGAAAGGUUCACGGCUAAUACCCGUGAGCCG
rnacentral:rRNA from 1 species